AACGAACGCUGGCGGCAGGCCUAACACAUGCAAGUCGAACGCAUCGCAAGAUGAGUGGCGCACGGGUGAAUAACACGUGGGAAUGUCCCCUUUGGUUCGGAAUAACGUCUGGAAACGGACGCUAAUACCGGAUGUCCCCUGCGGGGGAAAGAUUUAUCGCCAAAGGAGCAGCCCGCGUCUGAGUAGGUAGUUGGAGGGGUAAAGGCCUACCAAGCCGACGAUCAGUAGCUGGUCUGAGAGAAUGAUCAGCCACACUGGGACUGAGACACGGCCCAGACUCCUACGGGAGGCAGCAGUGGGGAAUAUUGGACAAUGGGCGCAAGCCUGAUCCAGCCAUGCCGCGUGAGUGAUGAAGGCCUUCGGGUUGUAAAGCUCUUUCGCAAACGACGAUGAUGACGGUAGUGUGAGAAGAAGCCCCGGCUAACUUCGUGCCAGCCGCCGCGGUAAUAC
rnacentral:rRNA from 1 species